ACAAAAAUAAAAACACGCAGCAACCUAAUAAAAACAAUACGUACCGGCUCUGACAUAACAAGAACAACACGGACAGAGGCGUAGCUAACAGAUUUUUUUGAAGUGGAUAGCUUUUCUGAAUCGCUUGCUUCGCAAGUUGUUCGCAGCCAGACAGAGAAC
rnacentral:ncRNA from 1 species